CUCAUCAGCAAUGAUACUGACAUAUUUCUGAAAUGGCUCUAAUGCUGAGAUGUUAUAAUCAUUCACUAGCUGUGUAUCUAAUUCUGUAGAGAAUCCAUUUGUGCUUUUAAAUGCAUACGUAUAAUCCCUAAGGGUACGCUGAGAGGGAAGAUGUAAGAUGCCAGUUUUUUGAAGCAAGUCAUGCUUUAGAGGAUUUGUGCCUCAAAAAGAUACACCACUUUACAAUUGCAGGAUUCCAGCGAAAUUGUGUAGAGCACAUUUUCGAUGCUGCUUUAUAUUGAUUCUCCCAGAAUAUUCUGCGAAGCUACCUUCUGGAUGGUUAUUCAGAAUGUCUUGAUGGUGUUCAUGCAUUAUUGAUAAGAGGCUGCUGUGAAGAUUUUCAUUCAAAGUGAUUGAGCGAUUUGAGUUGGUGGAUUUUUUUGAGCAUCAAUGGUUUAGUUAUAUGUCGAUGAUUUGUUUUGAAACCUAUUUAUCUGUUUGGAGUGGUCGUUUAGAUGCUAUUGCAAGUAACUUUCUUCGGAAGGGAAUAUUUUGAAGAAUUGCAACAACCUGACCUGAGUUAAUUGAAGCUAUUGGCUUUUCUGCCAUUUGCUAAUUGUAAAAGAGACGAAUCAGAAUUGCCGGGGCAUACUUUCAGUGCUGCUAGAUAUGUGAGCAAGGUGAUUAGGUUAGGUUUGGAUAGACUGUGACUGUGAAUAAUAUCUGUGGAUGUGAAUUAUACUGCCGUAUAUAACACAACAUCAUAAUGUCAUGAGAAUUUUGAACUAUUAACCACCCAUCUGGUAAGAGAGAUUGUUGUGCAGCUAUUUUUUGUUGGACUGUACAUGAUGUAUGCUGUUUCACACUCGGUUUUGGACUGAUAAGUUUUGGAGCAGGGCUCUUUUGAGGUUGAUU